AUCGUAGUAGCGGCGAGCAAAAUGGGAGCAACAUAAACCAUGAAAACGGGGUUGUGGGAGGGUAAUACAAGCGUCAUAUUGCUAGGCGAUGCAGUGGAAUGCUGCACCCUAGAUGGUGAGAACCCAGUAGCCGAAAGCAUCACUAGCUUACGCUCUGACCCUAGUAACAUGGGGCACAGGAAUCCCAGAUUCUACAGGAUCAAACCUAUGGGACUUAA
rnacentral:ncRNA from 1 species